ACCGUGAGGGAAAGGCGAAAAGAACCCCGGCGAGGGGAGUGAAAAAGAACCUGAAACCGUGUACGUACAAGCAGUGGGAGCACGCUUAGGCGUGUGACUGCGUACCUUUUGUAUAAUGGGUCAGCGACUUAUAUUCUGUAGCAAGGUUAACCGAAUAGGGGAGCCGAAGGGAAACCGAGUCUUAACUGGGCGUUAAGUUGCAGGGUAUAGACCCGAAACCCGGUGAUCUAGCCAUGGGCAGGUUGAAGGUUGGGUAACACUAACUGGAGGACCGAACCGACUAAUGUUGAAAAAUUAGCGGAUGACUUGUGGCUGGGGGUGAAAGGCCAAUCAAACCGGGAGAUAGCUGGUUCUCCCCGAAAGCUAUUUAGGUAGCGCCUCGUGAAUUCAUCUCCGGGGGUAGAGCACUGUUUCGGCA
rnacentral:rRNA from 1 species